UACGAAGGGGGCUAGCGUUGUUCGGAAUCACUGGGCGUAAAGGGCGCGUAGGCGGCUUUAUAAGUCGGGGGUGAAAGCCUGUGGCUCAACCACAGAAUUGCCUUCGAUACUGUAGAGCUUGAGACCGGAAGAGGUAAGUGGAACUGCGAGUGUAGAGGUGAAAUUCGUAGAUAUUCGCAAGAACACCAGUGGCGAAGGCGGCUCACUGGCCCGAUACUGACGCUGAGGCACGAAAGCGUGGGGGAGCAAACGGGG
rnacentral:rRNA from 1 species